AUGUAUAUUCCUACAACGUUAUUGCACCAUAUCCCUUCAGAACUCCAUAGUUAAGUUUUCUUGAGAUAGAGUAGUACUAGGAUGGGUGACCUCUCUGGAAGUCCUAGUGUUUUACACG
rnacentral:rRNA from 1 species